rnacentral:rRNA from 1 species
UACGAAGUGGGCUAGCGUUGCUCGGAAUCACUGGGCGUAAAGCGCACGUAGGCGGAUCUUUAAGUCAGGGGUGAAAUCCUGGAGCUCAACUCCAGAACUGCCUUUGAUACUGGGGAUCUCGAGUCCGGAAGAGGUGAGUGGAACUCUGAGUGUAGAGGUGAAAUUCGUAGAUAUUCGGAAGAACACCAGUGGCGAAGGCGGCUCACUGGUCCGGUACUGACGCUGAGGUGCGAAAGCCAGGGGAGCGAACGGG